rnacentral:rRNA from 1 species
CACGUAGGGUGCGAGCGUUGUCCGGAAUUAUUGGGCGUAAAGAGCUCGUAGGCGGUGUGUCGCGUCGGCCGUGAAAACCUGCAGCUUAACUGUGGGCUUGCGGUCGAUACGGGCAUCACUGGAGUUCGGCAGGGGAGACUGGAAUUCCUGGUGUAGCGGUGAAAUGCGCAGAGUAUCAGGAGGAACACCGGUGGCCGAAGGCGGGUCUCUGGGCCGAUACUGACGC